AACGUAGGACGCAAGCGUUAUCCGGAGUUACUGGGCGUAAAGCGCGGGCAGGCGGUUGCUCAAGUCUGAUGUGAAAUCUCCUCGCUCAACGGGGAGCAGCCAUUGGAAACUGGGCAACUGGAGUCUGGCAGAGGAAUGUGGAAUUCCGGGUGGAGUGGUGAAAUGCGUAGAGAUCCGGAGGAACACCAGUGGCGAAGGCGAUCUGCUAGGCCUGACCUGACACUCAGCCGCGACAGCAUGGGGAGCGAACGGG
rnacentral:rRNA from 1 species